rnacentral:rRNA from 1 species
GACGAACGCUGGCGGCGUGCUUAACACAUGCAAGUCGAACGGAAAGGCCCUGCUUUUGUGGGGUGCUCGAGUGGCGUACGGGUGAGUAACACGUGAGUAACCUGCCCUUGACUUUGGGAUAACUUCAGGAAACUGGGGCUAAUACCGGAUAGGAGCUCCUGCUGCAUGGUGGGGGUUGGAAAGUUUCGGCGGUUGGGGAUGGACUCGCGGCUUAUCAGCUUGUUGGUGGGGUAGUGGCUUACCAAGGCUUUGACGGGUAGCCGGCCUGAGAGGGUGACCGGCCACAUUGGGACUGAGAUACGGCCCAGACUCCUACGGGAGGCAGCAGUGGGGAAUAUUGCACAAUGGGCGGAAGCCUGAUGCAGCAACGCCGCGUGCGGGAUGACGGCCUUCGGGUUGUAAACCGCUUUCGCCUGUGACGAAGCGUGAGUGGCGGUAAUGGGUAAAGAAGCACCGGCUAACUACGUG